rnacentral:pre_miRNA from 1 species
UAGAAGUAUUUAAAGACUUCAUCUUGCAUACUUGAAGAAUUUAAAUACUUCUACUUGCAUAUUUGGAGGAUUUAUUGCCUUGAACU